rnacentral:lncRNA from 1 species
CACCUCCAAAACCUAAAAAUCUACAAAACCCUCAAAUUGAAGGCCAAAAUUCAGUUGAAAUCGAAAUCUAAACAUAGAAUCGUGAUCUCCUCGUCAAGAAGGUCAUAAGGCAAGGAAUCCGGGACGUCAAGUGGACACGCCGGAGGUGAUACCCGCGGAAAAGGUGUGCUUUGAAGGUACAAAUAAAUCUCUCUCGGAUGAUGAUCAAGCACCUUGUCAAGAACCGAACACGCAAAUUGAAGCUUCCGCAUGAAUAUAAUUUUCUAGUUGUUAGUUGA